UUUGCAUUUUCUCUAUCAGCGUUAAAUCUUGGAAGAACUCCUGCUUUAGAUUGUCCUUCAAAAUAUGUUUUUCCUGCAUAGAGAUGAAUGUAUAUAAAAUAUUAGGAACUUUGACUGCUGUUGCAAAUGGAUUCCAACGUUUCCACAAUAACCACCACCCAGACAAAGAAUCACCAUAGUUUGUUAAAUCGGUGUCAUCUUGUGAUCCAACAUCGAUAGCCAAAAUGUGAUGAGCUCCUUGCCUCAACAUUUCAUCAGCUUAAAUAAAAACAGACAAAAUUGAUUUUGAUAGUAUGUAAACAUAAUAAAAUAUAAGCAUCACUUUUAA